UAAUGUAACUGUUGAGAUAUGUAUAAUUUUCUGUGCUGGACUAGGUUAAAUGCGUAGUAGAGAUACUUGUAUGUGAAUAUCAGUGUGUGGAAGUAUGUGUGUCCGAAGCGUCUCGAAAACAAAUGAAUGUAAACUCUUCAGUCGGUUAAGGUCCGUCGAAGAGUCGGUUAAGAGUCGUCGGAGAGUCGGUUAAGAGUUGUCGAAGAGUCGGUUUACAGUCGGGUAUAGAAGAAAAUGCUGAGACGCGUGCAAGUGAUCCUAUGAAGAAAAGUAUCCAAAGAGUGAAAAUAGAAAGCUUACGUGAAGU